AUUUCUUCCCAUGUAAAACAGGUUUACGACCCGAAUACCUUCCCCCCUCACGCACCGUUGCUGCAUCAGGGUUUCGCCCAUUGUCCAAAAUUCCCCACUGCUGCCUCCCGUAGG
rnacentral:rRNA from 1 species